UUCCGGUAGUUGAGCAUCCCUCAUUUCGCUAGCUUUAGACGCCUGUUGUUUUAGAAGGCAGACUUCGUGCCAUGCCUCACUGACUGACAUAGAUACCUUUCCUCAGUCCAACACUCCGUGAAGAAUGGGCUCCCAUUCCCCAAGAAAUCUUCCAGCGCCUGAUUGAACGUAUGCCUGCGAGAGUAGAAGCUGUCAUCAAGGCUAAGGGUGGGCCAGCGCCGUAUUGAAUUCCGGUAUUAUGGAUGGAGGGCCACUAAUUUAUAAAACUGUGGAAAUUGUAACUUCACUGAGGAAUUUGGGUGAUGGGAGACACUCCAUCCAUACUGAAGAAGCAGAGAAAAUAAAGGGGCAUUACUCAGCAUGACUCAGCAGGCCCUCUGUCAUCAGGGAUUUUGCCAUAAGUGACAGUCAGCAUCUAACAGUGAAGUGUUGACUGUGUGUGCUGAUUCUGAUCAUACAGAGUGUGAGUAGUACGGAGAUGCUUUGUGAAAUCGAGUGUGAAUCCUUGGAGGGAUGACAAUAUCCUUUCCAUGGAACACUGUUGAGAAAAUUUAGAGAACCAACGUUUGAAGCUGACUACAAACUAAUCUUCUGUUGCAAAUGAUAAAUGAUACAUGUUGUGUAAAGAUCACAAAGGCCCAAAAAUCUGCUUGAAGGGAACAAUAAGAAGUAUUAGAAGGGAAAACUAAAUACUAGAAGAACAGAAUUGAUAAAAAUUAUUGUAUCUAAUGUUUUUAGUGUAAAAAUGCUGGUGAGUUACAAAAUUCAGUAAGGAAAUGGUGCAAAUCAAUUGCAUUCUAAUUUUCUUUUGUCAGAACACAUUUAAAAUUGAAUCACAAUAUUUUCUUGCAUAUGCUGGAGCCAUGUUAUAAAUGACUCUGCAUAUAUCCUGUAUUAUUUAAAAUGUUUGUUGAUAAUAUGUAGUACCACUAAAAAUAAUAAAUAUCCAGAAAUAUA